GAUGAACGCUGGCGGCAUGCCUAAGACAUGCAAGUCGUACGAGACAGACUAAUGAAAUGGAGUGCUUGCACAAAAUCGAUUUAGAUCCUGUCUAGUGGCGCAAGGGUGAGUAACACGUGGGUUAUCUACCUCAGAGACUGGAAUAACAGCUGGAAACGGUUGCUAAUACCGGAUUAAAUAUGGAACGAUACGUUGUUCUAUAGUAAAAGGAGCCUUAAAGCUCCACUUUGAGAUGAGCCUGUGGCGUAUUAGCUAGUUGGUAGGGUAAUGGCCUACCAAGGCAACGAUGCGUAGCCGACCUGAGAGGGUGAACGGCCACACUGGGACUGAGACACGGCCCAGACUCCUACGGGAGACAGCAGUUAGGAAUAUUCGUCAAUGGGGGAAACCCUGAACGAGCAAUGCCGCGUGAAGGAAGAAGGUCCUCUGGAUUGUAAACUUCUGUUGAUUGGGAAGAACGACUCAUAUAGGAAAUGAUAUGAGAGUGAC
rnacentral:rRNA from 1 species